rnacentral:rRNA from 1 species
GUAGGUGAGGUAAUGGCUCACCUAGGCGACGAUACAUAGCCGACCUGAGAGGGUGAUCGGCCACACUGGGACUGAGACACGGCCCAAACUCCUACGGGAGGCAGCAGUAGGGAAUCUUCGGCAAUGGGGGCAACCCUGACCGAGCAACGCCGCGUGAGUGAAGAAGGUUUUCGGAUCGUAAAGCUCUGUUGUAAGUCAAGAACGGGUGUGAGAGUGGAAAGUUCACACUGUGACGGUAGCUUACCAAAAAGGGACGGCUAACUACGUGCCAGCAGCCGCGGUAAUACGUAGGUCCCAAGCGUUGUCCGGAUUUAUUGGGCGUAAAGCGAGCGCAGGCGGUUUGAUAAGUCUGAAGUUAAAGGCUGUGGCUCAACCAUAGUUCGCUUUGGAAACUGUCAAACUUGAGUGCAAAAGGGGAGAGUGGAAUUCCAUGUGUAGCGGUGAAAUGCGUAGAUAUAUGGAGGAACACCGGUGGCGAAAGCGGCUCUCUGGUCUGUAACUGACGCUAAGGCUCGAAAGCGUGGGGAGCGAACAGGAUUAGAUACCCUGGUAGUCCACGCCGUAAACAAUGAGUGCUAGGUGUUGGAUCCUUUCCGGGAUUCAGUGCCGCAGCUAACGCAUUAAGCACUCCGCCUGGGGAGUACGACCGCAAGGUUGAAACUCAAAGGAAUUGACGGGGGCCCGCA